GACGAACCGUGCGAACGUUAUUCGGAAUCAUUGGGCUUAAAGGGCGCGUAGGCGGCGGUGUAAGUUGGAAGUGAAAUCCCAUCGGCUCAACCGUGGAAUUGCUCCCAGUACUGCAUCGCUCGAGGGGGAUAGGGGUUUGCGGAACGUACCGGUGGAGCGGUGAAAUGUGUUGAUAUCGGUGGGAACGCCAGUGGCGAAAGCGGCAAACUUGACCCUUCCUGACGCUGAGGCGCGAAAGCUAGGGGAGCAAACGGG
rnacentral:rRNA from 1 species